AACGGAAAGGCCCUGCUUGCAGGGUACUCGAGUGGCGAACGGGUGAGUAACACGUGGGUGAUCUGCCCUGCACUUCGGGAUAAGCUUGGGAAACUGGGUCUAAUACCGGAUAGGAGCCAUCUUUAGUGUGGUGGUUGGAAAGUUUUUUCGGUGUAGGAUGAGCUCGCGGCCUAUCAGCUUGUUGGUGGGGUAAUGGCCUACCAAGGCGGCGACGGGUAGCCGGCCUGAGAGGGUGUACGGCCACAUUGGGACUGAGAUACGGCCCAGACUCCUACGGGAGGCAGCAGUGGGGAAUAUUGCACAAUGGGCGCAAGCCUGAUGCAGCGACGCCGCGUGGGGAAUGAAGGCCUUCGGGUUGUAAACUCCUUUCGCUAGGGACGAAGCUUUGUUGUGACGGUACCUAGAUAAGAAGCACCGGCUAACUACGUGCCAGCAGCCGCGGUAAUACGUAGGGUGCGAGCGUUGUCCGGAAUUACUGGGCGUAAAGGGCUCGUAGGUGGUUUGUCGCGUCGUCUGUGAAAUUCUGGGGCUUAACUCCGGGCGUGCAGGCGAUACGGGCAUAACUUGAGUGCUGUAGGGGUAACUGGAAUUCCUGGUGUAGCGGUGAAAUGCGCAGAUAUCAGGAGGAACACCGAUGGCGAAGGCAGGUUACUGGGCAGUUACUGACGCUGAGGAGCGAAAGCAUGGGUAGCGAACAGGAUUAGAUACCCUGGU
rnacentral:rRNA from 1 species